rnacentral:lncRNA from 1 species
UCUUUUCUGGGUAAAAGGUGUCCAAACUCUACAGACUGACAGAGUCUAACAGGUGUCUCUAUAUUCCUCCUCCUAGAACUCUCAGAGGAUCCAGAACUGCAGCCGGUCCUCGCUGGGCUGUUCCUGUCCAUGUGCCUGGUCAAGGUGCUGGGGAACCUGCUCAUCAUCCUGGCCAUCAGCCCUGACUCCCACCUCCACACCCCCAUGUACUUCUUCCUCUCCAACCUGUCCUUGCCUGACAUCGGUUUCACCUCCACCACGGUCCCCAAGAUGAUUGUGGAAUCCAAUCUCACAGCAGAGUCAUCUCCUAUGCAGGCUGCCUGACUCAGAUGUCUCUCUUUGCCAUUUUUGGAGGCAUGGAAGAGAGACAUGCUCCUGAGUGUGAUGGCCUAUGACUGGUUUGUAGCCAUCUGUCACCCUCUAUAUCAUUCAGCCAUCAUGAACCCGUGUUUCUGUGGCUUCCUAGUUUUGCUGUCUUUUUUUUCUUUCUUUUUCUCAGCUGCACAACUUGAUUGCCUUACAAAUGACCUGCUUCAAGAAUGUGGGAAUUCCUAAUUUCCUCUGUGACCCUUCUCAACUCCCCCAUCUCACAUGUUGUGACACCUUCACCAAUCACAUAAUCAUGUAUUUCCCCGCUGCCAUAUUUGGUUUUCUUCCCAUCUCGGGGACCCUUUUCUCUUACCAUGUAAUUGUUUCCUCCAUUCUGAGGGUUUCAUCAUCUGUGGGAGGUGUAAAGCCUUCCCCAUCUGUGAGUUGUUUGCUGAUAUUAUGGAACAGGCUUUGGAGGGUACCUCAGUUCAGAUGUGUCAUCUUCCCUGAGAAAGGCUGCAGUGGCCUCAGUGAUGUACAUGGUGGUCACACCCAUGCUGAACCCCUUCAUCUACAGCCUGAGAAACAGGGAUAUUAAAAGUGUCGUGCAGCGGCCGCAUGGCAGCACGGUCUAAUCUCAAUAUCU